GAAGAGCCAAAAGUGGACCAAGCUUGGUUUUUUACUGUCAGCCCUGUUUGAUUUAGGAUUCAUGUUUCCAUGAUGUCAUCGUACGGAUCUUCCAUGAAUGCACCCAAACACCAUUAUGUGACUUGUAGCCUUACUAAGUGAAAUUAUAGGGUGUCCAGAUACAAGAAUAGGCUUUGAGCUGAUCUGAAUCCUAGCAAUGUUUAUCUACUUAAUGUGCUUGUGUCUCUAUAUGUGAUCU